AGCCAUGACGACCUUUCCUCAAUCUAGCGACCCAACCUCAGGUGAGGCGAUGCCGAGGUCAUACGACCUUAGGCAAGCGAUGACGAGGCCGCCCGACCUCAUGCGUGCCUCUCUCGACUCCGGCGUUGGGCAAGCCAGGCGCUAGAUCCAAACUCCUCCCAGUCAACAAGCAAGGAAGACCCAAAACCGGCUCGGGACCCGACAGCCCGAACUCCUCCCGGUCAACCACCUCUUCCACCGCAGAGCAAGAAGCGACCGCGGGACGCCAAUGCCUCCUCCGUUCAGAACUCCAAGUACUUCAAGAUGCGCGCAGUGCUGAGCGACCUCCAUCCCCAUUUCGUCUAGGUGCUUCGGACCCCAGAUUUUCGGAACUGCAAGUCAGCUGAAGAAAUCAGAAAACAGGUUGAGCUUCCGAUGGAUCUAUAUACUCAAAUUACUGGAAAUAGCAUUCCAGAAGUCCAACCUU